AAACGAGCAACUCCGAAGCAGAUGGAGCGCACCAACAUCUUUCGCUGAGCUGAUAGCCUACUUGGAGGGCUAUCGACCUGUCUAUUGGGACCUGCGGGCAUGAAACACAGCGUCCCCAGGCAAAAGGGACGUCAGUACGAAUAAUGUACCGAGUAUGUAAGGCACAUAAAUAAAUACAUUAGAGAUAUGGAAGACAUAUAGAGUACAUGACUCAACAUGUAAGUCUGAAUAAUCUUGUAAAUCAUAAAUUACUUUUAACGUCAUGCAUAUGCGUAUGAAUGUCAUGUCGUGCAUAGGUAUAUAUUUCCUAAUAUCAUCAGCCUCUGAGGGCAUCCCAUCAUAUUAUAUCGGCCAUAGUGGGCAAAAUCAUCAUCGUAUACCAGCUGAUCAGGUGGUGGUGCGUAUAUAACGCCAUAACCUUUCCCAAAUCCCAUAUACAGAUAUACAUACAUAUAUAUGCGUAUAUAAUGUCGUUUGAAUCAUACUUACAUAUAUAUGCGUAUAUAAUGUCGUUUGAAUCAUAUUUCGGCCACUGUGGGCAACAUCAUCAUCAUAUACCAGCUGAUCAGGUGGUGGUGCAUAUAUAACGCCGUAACCUUUUCCCAUUCCAUAUACAUAUAUUUAUAUAUAUACGCGUAUAUAAUGCCAUCUGGUCAUGGGUCAAUGCACAUGAAUGCAAUGCAUGAAAAGUACGUCAGUAAAGUCAUUUGGAAGGUCAUAAGACCACUUUGCCUCUUGAGCAAUAUCAUAAAGUAACAUCUUUUCAACUUUUGUAUUUUUCUAAGACCCAUGAAUAGAUGAUAAAAUAUUAUGACACAUGAGAAUUAAAGAAUAUAGAUAUUUCUAACACUUCUAUGAAUAUAGUCAUUUAUGGAAUUUGUGCAUUUGCACGUUUCAUUAAUAUCGUAUGGAUCAUGCCAAAAGAAAGAAGGGAUAGCCUUAACAUACCUGGAGGAAUUAUAACCUAACACAUCCAAGGGCAUGUAGCUAAAAUGGAAGAGUUCAACUUGCACUCGUAGUACCAACUGCUUGCUAAGAUAGUAGAAGUAAGACCCCAGCUAACAAAUUCCAUCCUUUCCAACUCGUCUCUAAGAUUUCACACAAGGUAGAAUAGGAAUGUAUGAUUUCGCAUUUCUGAAGGUCAUUUCUUUAAUAUAGAUAGUAGUGGUCUCUGCAUGAAUUUAUUUGCUUUCAUAACCAUGGAAACAAUUCCAACAACAUCAUCUAUCAAGGGAAAUGACCAUGGGACAAUUCCAUGAACAUCUAAAAUGGUAGUCAAGAAAAGAUGCUAUUGUGGCAAUGGAGAUAUGGUUGGCCUAAUUAGCUAGCAAUGUUCUAGGACAACUUGGAGAAGUAACGAAAUUUUUUGAAG
rnacentral:lncRNA from 1 species